rnacentral:sRNA from 1 species
UAGUAUAGUGAUUUUGGAUUCUUCCAAGC